UACGGGGGGGGCAAGCGUUGUUCGGAAUUACUGGGCGUAAAGGGCUCGUAGGCGGCCAACUAAGUCAGACGUGAAAUCCCUCGGCUUAACCGGGGAACUGCGUCUGAUACUGGAUGGCUUGAAUCCGGGAGAGGGAUGCGGAAUUCCAGGUGUAGCGGUGAAAUGCGUAGAUAUCUGGAGGAACACCGGUGGCGAAGGCGGCCUUCUGGACAGUGACUGACGCUGAGACGCGAAAGCGUGGGGAGCAAACAGG
rnacentral:rRNA from 1 species